rnacentral:rRNA from 1 species
UACGCAGGGUGCAAGCGUUAAUCGGAAUUACUGGGCGUAAAGCGUGCGCAGGCGGUUUUUUAAGCCAGAUGUGAAAUCCCCGGGCUCAACCUGGGAACUGCAUUUGGGACUGGAAGGCUAGAGUAUGGCAGAGGGGGGUGGAAUUCCACGUGUAGCAGUGAAAUGCGUAGAGAUGUGGAGGAACACCGAUGGCGAAGGCAGCCCCCUGGGCCUAUACUGACGCUCAUGCACGAAAGCGUGGGGAGCAAACAGG